rnacentral:misc_RNA from 1 species
CAAGACAACCGCAAGCAAGAUCCCGACCGCUAUAGCGGCGAUCAUUGCGAGCCUGUCUGACAUCCGAAAUUCCUUCGGCUUCGCGCCGCUACGAAUUCAUUCAUUGAAAUCACAUCUGCGCUCGGUCGUUGCAGCGUCCGUCGCAUCCAUUGUUUUAGCUCGUCCGUCGUUUGCAGACGCGGAUCGAGAAGGGGUCUGAGGUCUACGUGUGUGUUUUCCAUGUUCGCUAAUGAGCAUGGAAGGAAAGACAGUGUCAUCCAACAGUGAUGGAUACUUUGAGAGUAAACCGAUGAACGCGAUGUCAGAUGUAACAGCGAUAAACAAAUUCGCGCGCACCCUAGAGGAUGCGAAAGCACGUCGCCUCGGGAUCAAGACGUCCGACGCAA